AGUGAACGCUGGCGGUAGGCCUAACACAUGCAAGUCGAACGGCAGCACAGUAAGAGCUUGCUCUUACGGGUGGCGAGUGGCGGACGGGUGAGGAAUACAUCGGAAUCUACUUUUUCGUGGGGGAUAACGUAGGGAAACUUACGCUAAUACCGCAUACGACCUACGGGUGAAAGCAGGGGAUCUUCGGACCUUGCGCGAUUGAAUGAGCCGAUGUCGGAUUAGCUAGUUGGCGGGGUGAAGGCCCACCAAGGCGACGAUCCGUAGCUGGUCUGAGAGGAUGAUCGGCCACACUGGAACUGAGACACGGUCCAGACUCCUACGGGAGGCAGCAGUGGGGAAUAUUGGACAAUGGGCGCAAGCCUGAUCCAGCCAUACCGCGUGGGUGAAGAAGGCCUUCGGGUUGUAAAGCCCUUUUGUUGGGAAAGAAAAGCAGCAGGUUAAUACCACGCUGUUCUGACGGUACCCAAAGAAUAAGCACCGGCUAACUUCGUG
rnacentral:rRNA from 1 species